GUCCCAUACACCUACUAUUGUGGCUGACAUCCAAUAAGUGUUCAUUGAACAUAUGUUAGAGUAAUAAAUAUGACAGCACAGGUUCAGUUUUCAUUUUUACCUUUCUGAUUACUCUUUUAUUUGUUUUUAUUUUUUUCUCCUGGUAACUCUUUUAAAAUAUUGUCUUUACCUCUACAUCCAAGCUGUUAACACACAACGUUUUCAAGUUUGAAAAAGAAACACAUACUUGUUGGACAUCAAACCUUGAGCAUAUCCAAGGUUCCAGGACAGCCACAGGUUCAGCUUUAUUUUCUUCUCAGAUUUCACUAUCUCUUGCUCAAACUUCACUGAGAUCUUUACUUUUUAUCUCCUGUCACAGAUAUGUUUUUCUACAACUAUUUUUGCCACUUUCUUUGAAUAGCUACAUAAUCAUCAUUAAUAACUUUGAUAAUACCCAUUUCACAAAGCUUUCUCAGAGAUAAUUUGAAGUCCCUGUGUAGACACUGUUGAUACAACUUCAGGUGAAAUGAUAAAUCACUUUUCAGCAAAGAGAUGAGAUCGUGUAUUCUCAAAUCUUUAUCUCAGGGAUAAGAUGCACUCUUUGCACAUGUGCUUUGACUGUUGGAAGGCCACACAAUUUCCUGGCAGAAAAUGGUAUAUUAAUAAGAUGCUCUUCGUUUUCAGAUUCUUAAAAUAAAUGGAAAAUAUUUCAGAUAAAAAGUAAUAAAUAUUAUCUGAAUAAAAGUAUUGCUUGCUGGGUAGGAACACAAACACUGAUUAUAUAGGUAGUCAAGAUUUUCCUUCUCCGACUCCUAUCUGGAGUCUAUUUUCCCAACGGAGCAUACAGAAGGUCAUCACAUAAUCUUCAAAGCUUCAGUCUAUAUGUUCUUGACAAGCAACAAAAGAGCUGACAGCUGUGAGUUACUAGGAGUCAUUACAGGCUGCUGUGUCCCUUCGCAUGUGCAUCCUUUGGAAACUUGCUGUGCUUCAUAGAAUCUGAAAUAACAGUUCUUUGGAACAUUUCUCGGACUUGCUCUAGACUGCAUUCUGCGACUGACCGUCUAAGAGCCAGCGAAGCCUCACCACAGGCCUGAAGCCCUGAAGCCUGGGAACUCCAUUUUGCAAGGCCCCUCGAGAGGCCUCUUGGCUUUCCCGAGAACGUCAAGGAGUGACCUCAAUUCCGGGACACGACAGGGGGCGGCAGCGAACUACGUUACCCGAAGGACUGUGCGGCGUGCGCAGGCAGCCAGGUGAACCAAUGAAAGCCUAGCAGAGGCGUUUAUGUGCGUGUAGGCGGGACUUCCGCCAGUGCCCAUUUGUGGCGUCAUUAUGGUUGCCUUUGGGUCUAUUCCCUGAUUUUAUGGUCCCGGAGCGCUCAGUCGGGAUUCCGGUGAUAGCGGGAAAGCGUGAUAACAGGUGUCCCGAGUGCACAGAGACGAUAGUGAGGCUCGACUGAGUAGGGCUGCAAACGCCAGUUCCCUCGUUUCCGUCCAGGUCACCCGCCGCUCCCGGGGCUGCUCUUCCCGAUGAGCUCCACUCAGGGAACAGAGAGUGAGGUGGAGGCUCGCCUGGAAUGACAGUGGAGUAGCUGGAAGCCAUGGGAGGUUGUGAAGAGAGGACGGACGGGACGGUCAUGCCCAGAGUUAAAAGUUUAAAGUAGGGAAAAGCAGGACGUGGAACGGAGGCGUGGAACCGGCGAGGAGACCACUGAAGUAGACCCUCGUUGAAUUACGGAUCCCAUGGCAGUGGCAGAAAUGUUUGAGGACCCUGCACAGGUGAGUGGAGUCUGUCUCAGGCUUGCAGCCACUCCAGUUCUCACUCGAUGGUUUCUGCAUGCUGAUAAAGGGAAUGGUGGUGUGCUGAGAUGCUUCACCUUUGCUUCUCCCUUCCAUGCAUCUGAAGACGCUGUAGUUCCACAAGAUCCAGGGUAUCAAUUCAGUCCUUCAUUAUGUGGAAUGGUUCUGACAACUAAUGGUAAGAUGUGGCAGGGUGUCCCAGGCGUAGGAUCCAGAAUGUUCAAAUGAUUGCUGGUGAGAUUUGUUUAGAGAAUUGCACAUCAUGUUAUAUCUGCUGGGAUAGAGAGCAGGGCAGGAGGUUGAGGUAUGCAGGAAUCAGCGUGUAAAGGACCAUCUGAGAUUCUGGGCCUCUAAUCUGAGGGUGGUAGAAGCAAGGGACGGUUUGAUGGGAGGAAAAAGGAGGUGAUUUGACUCAGAUAUUAAAAGGCUCCCUUUGCCUGCUGAAUAGAGGACAGAUUUGGGUUGAGGGUGGGAUCAGGGACACUAGGGACAUAGUUCCUGCAACAGUCCAGGUGGAUAUUGGUGGUGGCUGGACGAGUGGGUGGCUGUGGAAGUAGAAGGAGUGGGUAGCUUCUGGAUGUGUUUGAGCUAGUGCUGCCCAUGCUCCUUCCAGGGGAGUCAGAGAUGGCUCCAUGGUUCUGGCUUUGUUUGGAAGGAUGGAUGUUCCAACAACCAAGAUGUGGUAAAUUCUGUGAUAGGAGGAAUUUUAAUAGAGCACUUGAGGAACCAUGUUUUGGCCAAGACAAAAAUGUUCCUGACUCUGAGUGUAGGUGCCAGAUUAGCAAUUGUACACAGAGGAAUGGAGUUCAGUGGAGGUGUUCAGGAUGGAGACAUCCACUGCAUGAUACCUGGUGUGUACACGAUCCCCAGAGGUGUGGGUCAGAUUUUAGAAGAGGCAUCCUUAGGUUUUAGGGGCAGUGCAGUUAGAGAGGAAAGAAGGGACUUAGGACUUGGUCUGUCUCUUGGGCAUCUGGGUGAUGGUGGUGAGUGUCACAAAGAGGGAUGAGGAAGCAGCUAGGAGUGUCACUAGACCUGCAGUGGAGAUAGGGUUGGGGAGGGCAGUGCAGAUGGAUUUUGGGUUAGGGUGAGGUAGACAGGGAAGUCAUUCUGCUUAUGGGACAGCGUGUGCAGUGCAGAAGGAGGAGGCAGCCAAGAUCUGGAGCUCAGAGGAGGCAUGAGAGAACUCUAUCCAUGUUCUGUGCUUGACUCAGUGAUCGGUGGCAGUAUGGUGACGAGUAGGCACCAGAACCCCCAGGACCUGAUAUUUCUUCCACUUUGGGAAGUGGUUGAUGUGUGUGUGUGUGUGUGUGUGUGUGUGUGUGUGUGUGUGUGUGUGAUGGGGGUAGCACUGAUGAUCCUGGAGAGGAAAGUGUAUCAAUGAUUGUACCCAUAGAAUUUUAUUUUAUUUUUUUUUGAGACAGAGUCUCACUCUGUUGCCUGGGCUAGAGUGAGUGCCGUG